UACGUAGGGUGCAAGCGUUAAUCGGAAUUACUGGGCGUAAAGCGUGCGCAGGCGGUUGUGCAAGACAGAUGUGAAAUCCCCGGGCUUAACCUGGGAACUGCAUUUGUGACUGCACGGCUAGAGUGUGUCAGAGGGGGUAGAAUUCCACGUGUAGCAGUGAAAUGCGUAGAUAUGUGGAGGAAUACCGAUGGCGAAGGCAGCCCCCUGGGAUAACACUGACGCUCAUGGCACGGAAAGCGUAGGGGGAGCAAACAGG
rnacentral:rRNA from 1 species